CGGCGGACGGGUGAGUAACGCGUGGGGAACCUGCCCUAUACAGGGGGAUAACAGUUAGAAAUGACUGCUAAUACCGCAUAAGCGCACGGAGCCGCAUGGCGCUGAGUGAAAAACGAUAGUGGUAUAGGAGGGACCCGCGUCUGAUUAGGUAGUUGGUGGGGUAACGGCCCACCAAGCCGACGAUCAGUAGCCGACCUGAGAGGGUGACCGGCCACAUUGGGACUGAGACACGGCCCAAACUCCUACGGAAGGCAGCAG
rnacentral:rRNA from 1 species